UACGUAGGGGGCGAGCGUUGUCCGGAUUCAUUGGGCGUAAAGAGUUCGUAGGCGGCUUGGUUAGUUGGGUGUGAAACCUCUAGGCUUAACCUGGAGACGCCACUCAAUACUGCCAUGGCUAGAGUCCGGUAGGGGACCACGGAAUUCCUGGUGUAGCGGUGAAAUGCGCAGAUAUCAGGAGGAACACCGGUGGCGAAGGCGGUUCUCUGGGCCUGUUCUGACGCUGAGGAGCGAAAGCGUGGGGAGCGAACAGG
rnacentral:rRNA from 1 species